CAGUCGCCGCGGUAAGACAGAGGAUGCAAGCGUUAUCCGGAAUGAUUGGGCGUAAAGCGUCUGUAGGUGGCUUUUCAAGUCCGCCGUCAAAUCCCAGGGCUCAACCCUGGACAGGCGGUGGAAACUACCAAGCUAGAGUACGGUAGGGGCAGAGGGAAUUUCCGGUGGAGCGGUGAAAUGCGUUGAGAUCGAAAAGAACACCAACGACGAAAGCACUCUGCUGGGUCGACACUGACACUGAGAGACGAAAGCUAGGGGAGCAAAUGGGAUUAGAUACCCCCGUAGUCCCUGUCUCUUAUAC
rnacentral:rRNA from 1 species